GAUGAACGCUAGCGGCAGGCCUAAUACAUGCAAGUCGAACGGGAUCUGAGGGUAGCUUGCUACCCGAUUUGAGAGUGGCGCACGGGUGCGUAACGCGUGAGCAACCUACCCAUAUCAGGGGGAUAGCCCGAAGAAAUUCGGAUUAACACCGCAUAAUAAUACGCUAACACCAGUUGAUGUACUCUAAUAUUUAUAGGAUAUUGAUGGGCUCGCGUGACAUUAGCUAGUUGGUAAGGUAACGGCUUACCAAGGCGACGAUGUCUAGGGGCUCUGAGAGGAGAAUCCCCCACACUGGUACUGAGACACGGACCAGACUCCUACGGGAGGCAGCAGUAAGGGAUAUUGGUCAAUGGGCGCAAGCCUGAACCAGCCAUGCCGCGUGCAGGAUGACUGCCCUAUGGGUUGUAAACUGCUUUUGUUAGGGAAUAAACCUUCUUACGUGUAAGGAGCUGAAUGUACCUAAAGAAUAAGGAUCGGCUAACUCCGUGCCAGCAGCCGCGGUAAAAC
rnacentral:rRNA from 1 species